AUUGAACGCUGGCGGCAGGCCUAACACAUGCAAGUCGAACGGUAACAGGAAACAGCUUGCUGUUUCGCUGACGAGUGGCGGACGGGUGAGUAAUGUCUGGGAAACUGCCUGAUGGAGGGGGAUAACUACUGGAAACGGUAGCUAAUACCGCAUAACGUCGCACGACCAAAGAGGGGGACCUUCAGGCCUCUUGCCAUCGGAUGUGCCCAGAUGGGAUUAGCUUGUUGGUGGGGUAACGGCUCACCAAGGCCACGAUCCCUAGCUGGUCUGAGAGGAUGAACAGCCACACUGGAACUGAGACACGGGCCAGACUCCUACGGGAGGCAGCAGUGGGGAAUAUUGCACAAUGGGCGCAAGCCUGAUGCAGCCAUGCCGCGUGUAUGAAGAAGGCCUUCGGGUUGUAAAGUACUUUCAGCGGGGAGGAAGGUGCUGAGGUUAAUAACCUCAGCAAUUGACGUUACCCGCAGAAGAAGCACCGGCUAACUCCGUGCCAGCCGCCGCCGUAA
rnacentral:rRNA from 1 species